rnacentral:rRNA from 1 species
AACGAACGUUAGCGGCGCGCCUAACACAUGCAAGUCGAGCGAGAAAGGGCUUCGGCCCCGGUACAGCGGCGCACGGGUGAGUAACACGUAGGUGAUCUACCCCCAAGUGGUGGAUAACCCUCCGAAAGGAGGACUAAUACAGCAUAAGACCACGGGCUCGAAGAGCUUGUGGCCAAAGCAGGCCUCUGCAUGCAAGCUUGCGCUAGGGGAUGAGCCUGCGGCCCAUCAGCUAGUUGGAAGGGUAACGGCCUACCAAGGCUAAGACGGGUAGCUGGUCUGAGAGGAUGAGCAGCCACACUGGAACUGAGACACGGUCCAGACUCCUACGGGUGGCUG